rnacentral:rRNA from 1 species
AACGAACGCUGGCGGCAGGCCUAACACAUGCAAGUCGAGCGGACCCUUCGGGGUUAGCGGCGGACGGGUGAGUAACGCGUGGGAACGUGCCCUUUGCUUCGGAAUAGCCCUGGGAAACUGGGAGUAAUACCGGAUACGCCCUUUUGGGGAAAGAUUUAUCGGCGAAGGAUCGGCCCGCGUUGGAUUAGGUAGUUGGUUGGGUAAUGGCCUACCAAGCCGACGAUCCAUAGCUGGUUUGAGAGGAUGAUCAGCCACACUGGGACUGAGACACGGCCCAGACUCCUACGGGAGGCAGAAGUGGGGAAUCUUAGACAAUGGGGGAAACCCUGAUCUAGCAAUGCCGCGUGAGCGAUGAAGGCCUUAGGGUUGUAAAGCUCUUUCACCGGGGAAGAUAAUGACGGUACCCGGAGAAGAAGCCCCGGCUAACUCCGUG